UCUGGAGCGAAGGACCUGAACCAGGAAGUUGGUCACCAGAUAACACGGUCACCAGUUAAACCAUAACACCUGUUACCAUUUUGAAAACAAUCACUGAUGAUGGAUGUGGCACAAAAAGAAAACACACUUCGCCGUUAAGUGGAUAUAAAAACAAAGCUAUGCGAAGUAGCCAGUCUGUUCAGGAACAGAGGAUGAACCUUAGAUCUUUCCCACCAUCUAUCUUACACAAGUAUGAGUUUUCUUCAAAGACUUCAAAGAGCAGCCCAAAAUGUCCUCACAUGAGUGAUCUUCCAGAACCUGGCCCGGCUCAACCAGUCUCAGCUCAACCCUGCCUGACCUCACAUGCCUUUUUCACACCAGCUGUCAGCACACACACAAACGCCCCGCCAACUUGCUAACAGGGACACCUGCCAGAUCUGCCUAGAGAAAAUUGCAGUUCUCAAGGAAAUCAACCUUCAAUUGUCACAUACAGCAGCAUGCAGGGAAUGAAGGAUAGAUGAGACUCUUAACUCUGAAAAGGUGGAAUUUACACACAAAGGCCAUCGGGCUUCUAUCUGCUCAUCUGAGUGGACGCAGCAGUUUUGAAAAGCUCUAACAGGAUUAAAGUGAGGACUGUCGAACCACAGAGCUGCUGUGGUGACAAACCCUUCUCACAUCUCCCUAAUCACUCUUCUGUCCACUCAUACAAGAACAGUGGAGAAAAAAAAUUAAAGAACACAAAAAUAUGAAAGCCGUUUUCCAAAGAAUAUUCAUUUUAAAAUAAUUUAAAAAAUUUAAUAAUGUUUGAAAAUAAGAAAUAAUCACAUUGUGAAAUAUGUGUAUUGGAAUUAUGAGAUUUAAAGUCACUGCAAAAUA